AGCGCAGGAGCUGCUGCCUCGCACAGGGGCAAGUUACCGCGUUCAGCUCACCUGCAGUAACUUGCUCCUGUGAGAGGUGGCGGCUCCUGGCU
rnacentral:pre_miRNA from 1 species